UACAGAGGGUGCGAGCGUUAAUCGGAAUUACUGGGCGUAAAGCGCGCGUAGGCGGCUUUGCAAGUCGGGUGUGAAAUCCCCAGGCUUAACCUGGGAACUGCAUUCGAGACUGCAUUGCUAGAGUAUGGGAGAGGGAAGUGGAAUUUCCGGUGUAGCGGUGAAAUGCGUAGAUAUCGGAAGGAACAGCAGUGGCGAAAGCGACGCGCUGGACCUCUUCUGACGCUGAGGCGCGAAAGCCAGGGGAGCAAACGGG
rnacentral:rRNA from 1 species